GCCUUCGUGGAUUAAUGGAAAUCACCCUGCGGCAUUGAGGUAGAUAUAAUGAUCCAGUCUCAGGGAGACGGGGUUCGAAUCCCCCCGAAGGCA